GACCCCACACACACCGACUCCUUUGAUGAUCUCCGAGUCUUGAAUUUCAUUCUCAUCGUCAGUCGGGUCACGGGGGAAGUAGCUUCAAGCAGGGAUACCAAGACUUCCCUUUCCCCAGCCACUUCUUCCAGCUCUUCCGGAGGGAUCCCGAGGCGUUCCAGGGCUAACCGAGAGACAGUCUCUCCAGCGUGUCCUGGGUCGUCCUUGGGUCUCUUUCCGUUUGGGGACAUGCCCGGAAUACCUCACCAGGGAGUUGUCCAGGAGGCAUCCGAAUCAGACGCCCCAGCCACCUCAUCUGGUUCCUCUCAACGCGGAGGACUAGCGGCUCGACACUGAGCCCCUCCCGGCAACCCUGUGAUUGGCUGGUCGGCCUUUUGCCAAACAUCAGCUGUGGUAGGUGACAUUGAAGAAGAUGAACGCUAUUGAAGCCGGCACGGUGGUCUCACAGUUCUGAGGACCGGAGUUCAAAUCCAGGUCCUGCCUGUGUGGAGUUUGCAUGUUCUCCCCCGCGCCUGCGUGGGUUUCCUCCGGGCACUCCGGUUUCCUCCCACCUCCCACAAAAACUGCGACUGUUUGUCUCCAUGUGCCCUGCGAAUG